rnacentral:rRNA from 1 species
GGGUUGUGAGGUUAAGCGACUAAGCGUACACGGUGGAUGCCCUGGCAGUCAGAGGCGAUGAAGGACGUGCUAAUCUGCGAAAAGCGUCGGUAAGGUGAUAUGAACCGUUAUAGCCGGCGAUGUCCGAAUGGGGAAACCCAGUGCAAUUCGUUGCACUAUCGUUAACUGAAUACAUAGGUUAACGAGGCGAACCGGGGGAACUGAAACAUCUAAGUACCCCGAGGAAAAGAAAUCAACCGAGAUUCCCCCAGUAGCGGCGAGCGAACGGGGAGCAGCCCAGAGUCUGAAUCAGCUUGUGUGUUAGUGGAACGGUCUGGAAAGUCCGACGGUACAGGGUGAUAGUCCCGUACACCAAAAUGCACAGGCUGUGAACUCGAAGAGUAGGGCGGGACACGUGGUAUCCUGUCUGAAUAUGGGGGGACCAUCCUCCAAGGCUAAAUACUCCUGACUGACCGAUAGUGAACCAGUACCGUGAGGGAAAGGCGAAAAGAACCCCGGCGAGGGGAGUGAAAAAGAACCUGAAACCGUGUACGUACAAGCAGUGGGAGCACCUUCGGGUGUGACUGCGUACCUUUUGUAUAAUGGGUCAGCGACUUAUAUUCUGUAGCAAGGUUAACCGUAUAGGGGAGCCGCAGGGAAACCGAGUCUUAACUGGGCGUUAAGUUGCAGGGUAUAGACCCGAAACCCGGUGAUCUAGCCAUGGGCAGGUUGAAGGUUGGGUAACACUAACUGGAGGACCGAACCGACUAAUGUUGAAAAAUUAGCGGAUGACUUGUGGCUGGGGGUGAAAGGCCAAUCAAACCGGGAGAUAGCUGGUUCUCCCCGAAAGCUAUUUAGGUAGCGCCUCGUGAAUUCAUCUUCGGGGGUAGAGCACUGUUUCGGCUAGGGGGUCAUCCCGACUUACCAACCCGAUGCAAACUACGAAUACCGAAGAAUGUUAUCACGGGAGACACACGGCGGGUGCUAACGUCCGUCGUGAAGAGGGAAACAACCCAGACCGCCAGCUAAGGUCCCAAAGUCAUGGUUAAGUGGGAAACGAUGUGGGAAGGCACAGACAGCCAGGAUGUUGGCUUAGAAGCAGCCAUCAUUUAAAGAAAGCGUAAUAGCUCACUGGUCGAGUCGGCCUGCGCGGAAGAUGUAACGGGGCUAAACCAUGCACCGAAGCUGCGGCAGCGACACUAUGUGUUGUUGGGUAGGGGAGCGUUCUGUAAGCCUGCGAAGGUGUGCUGUGAGGCAUGCUGGAGGUAUCAGAAGUGCGAAUGCUGACAUAAGUAACGAUAAAGCGGGUGAAAAGCCCGCUCGCCGGAAGACCAAGGGUUCCUGUCCAACGUUAAUCGGGGCAGGGUGAGUCGACCCCUAAGGCGAGGCCGAAAGGCGUAGUCGAUGGGAAACAGGUUAAUAUUCCUGUACUUGGUGUUACUGCGAAGGGGGGACGGAGAAGGCUAUGUUAGCCGGGCGACGGUUGUCCCGGUUUAAGCAUGUAGGCUGGUUAUCCAGGCAAAUCCGGAUAAUCAAGGCUGAGGUGUGAUGACGAGGCACUACGGUGCUGAAGUAACAAAUGCCCUGCUUCCAGGAAAAGCCUCUAAGCAUCAGGUAACAUCAAAUCGUACCCCAAACCGACACAGGUGGUCAGGUAGAGAAUACCAAGGCGCUUGAGAGAACUCGGGUGAAGGAACUAGGCAAAAUGGUGCCGUAACUUCGGGAGAAGGCACGCUGGUGUGUAGGUGAAGCCCCUGCGGGUGGAGCUGAGACCAGUCGAAGAUACCAGCUGGCUGCAACUGUUUAUUAAAAACACAGCACUGUGCAAACACGAAAGUGGACGUAUACGGUGUGACGCCUGCCCGGUGCCGGAAGGUUAAUUGAUGGGGUUAUCCGUAAGGAGAAGCUCUUGAUCGAAGCCCCGGUAAACGGCGGCCGUAACUAUAACGGUCCUAAGGUAGCGAAAUUCCUUGUCGGGUAAGUUCCGACCUGCACGAAUGGCGUAAUGAUGGCCAGGCUGUCUCCACCCGAGACUCAGUGAAAUUGAACUCGCUGUGAAGAUGCAGUGUACCCGCGGCAAGACGGAAAGACCCCGUGAACCUUUACUAUAGCUUGACACUGAACAUUGAGCCUUGAUGUGUAGGAUAGGUGGGAGGCUUUGAAGCGUGGACGCCAGUCUGCGUGGAGCCAACCUUGAAAUACCACCCUUUAAUGUUUGAUGUUCUAACGUUGGCCCCUUACCGGGGUUGCGGACAGUGUCUGGUGGGUAGUUUGACUGGGGCGGUCUCCUCCCAAAGCGUAACGGAGGAGCACGAAGGUUAGCUAAUCCUGGUCGGACAUCAGGAGGUUAGUGCAAUGGCAUAAGCUAGCUUGACUGCGAGCGUGACGGCGCGAGCAGGUGCGAAAGCAGGUCAUAGUGAUCCGGUGGUUCUGAAUGGAAGGGCCAUCGCUCAACGGAUAAAAGGUACUCCGGGGAUAACAGGCUGAUACCGCCCAAGAGUUCAUAUCGACGGCGGUGUUUGGCACCUCGAUGUCGGCUCAUCACAUCCUGGGGCUGAAGUAGGUCCCAAGGGUAUGGCUGUUCGCCAUUUAAAGUGGUACGCGAGCUGGGUUUAGAACGUCGUGAGACAGUUCGGUCCCUAUCUGCCGUGGGCGCUGGAGAAUUGAGGGGGGCUGCUCCUAGUACGAGAGGACCGGAGUGGACGCAUCACUGGUGUUCGGGUUGUCAUGCCAAUGGCACUGCCCGGUAGCUAAAUGCGGAAGAGAUAAGUGCUGAAAGCAUCUAAGCACGAAACUUGCCCCGAGAUGAGUUCUCCCUGAGACUUUAAGUCUCCUGAAGGAACGUUAAAGACGAUGACGUUGAUAGGCCGGGUGUGUAAGCGCAGCGAUGCGUUGAGCUAACCGGUACUAAUGAACCGUGAGGCUUAACCUUACAACGCCGAAG